CGUAGCCGAACUGAGAGGUUGAUCGGCCACAUUGGGACUGAGACACGGCCCAAACUCCUACGGGAGGCAGCAGUAGGGAAUCUUCCACAAUGGACGCAAGUCUGAUGGAGCAACGCCGCGUGAGUGAGGAAGGCUUUCGGGUCGUAAAACUCUGUUGUUGGAGAAGAAUGGUCGGCAGAGUAACUGUUGUCGGCGUGACGGUAUCCAACCAGAAAGCCACGGCUAACUACGUGCCAGCAGCCGCGGUAAUACGUAGGUGGCAAGCGUUAUCCGGAUUUAUUGGGCGUAAAGCGAGCGCAGGCGGUUUUUUAAGUCUGAUGUGAAAGCCCUCGGCUUAACCGAGGAAGCGCAUCGGAAACUGGGAAACUUGAGUGCAGAAGAGGACAGUGGAACUCCAUGUGUAGCGGUGAAAUGCGUAGAUAUAUGGAAGAACACCAGUGGCGAAGGCGGCUGUCUGGUCUGUAACUGACGCUGAGGCUCGAAAGCAUGGGUAGCGAACAGGAUUAGAUACCCUGGUAGUCCAUGCCGUAAACGAUGAAUGCUAGGUGUUGGAGGGUUUCCGCCCUUCAGUGCCGCAGCUAACGCAUUAAGCAUUCCGCCUGGGGAGUACGACCGCAAGGUUGAAACUCAAAGGAAUUGACGGGGGCCCGCACAAGCGGUGGAGCAUGUGGUUUAAUUCGAAGCAACGCGAAGAACCUUACCAGGUCUUGACAUCUUUUGA
rnacentral:rRNA from 1 species